UAGGGAAUCUUCCGCAAUGGACGAAAGUCUGACGGAGCAACGCCGCGUGAGUGAAGAAGGAUUUCGGUUCGUAAAACUCUGUUGUUAGGGAAGAAAAAAUGUAUAGUAACUAUAUACAAAAGAGACGGUACCUAACCAGAAAGCCACGGCUAACUACGUGCCAGCAGCCGCGGUAAUACGUAGGUGGCAAGCGUUGUCCGGAAUUAUUGGGCGUAACGCGCGCGCAGGUGGUUUAGAAAGUCUGAUGUGAAAGCCCACGGCUCAACCGUGGAGGGUCAGUGGAAACUAAUAAACUUGAGUGCAGGAGAGAAAAGUGGAAUUCCUAGUGUAGCGGUGAAAUGCGUAGAGAUUAGGAGGAACACCGGUGGCGAAAGCGGCUUUUUGGCCUGCAACUGACACUGAGGCGCGAAAGCGUGGGGAGCAAACAGG
rnacentral:rRNA from 1 species